UCUGGUCUACAUCUUUCCAUGUUCCUAUUUCAAAAAAUUUGCCAUUCUCAUCUCUCCAAGCUGCAAUGUCCACAACUCUCCUCCUCCUCUUAUUCAUCCUUGCAACACUAGCUCAUUUCUCUUAUGCUAAUCCUCUCUGCACUCCUUCUUCGUGUGGUGUUAUUCGUAACAUCAGCUACCCUUUCCGCCUCAAUGGCGAUCCCAGCCACUGCGGCCAUCUCAUAUUAACAUGCCAACACAACCUCACCUAUAUCUCUCUCCACUUUCAUAACUACUCUGUGAAAGCCAUCGACUACCAAAACUCCAGCAUCAGAGUGGCUGAUGCUUCCCUCAACAAUCACAACAUCUGCUCUUUCCCCAUCUCUUCUGCUUAUGAACAAGAUGAGUACUUUAGAGAUGAUUCUGGUAACUAUUACGACACCCCAUAUUCAAUCUAUCUACAUCGCGGAAUGGGAAGAUACACUACACGUCUGCAUGGCCCGAAAGAUCGCCUCUGUUACAGAUUUAAUGUUCCACAUCGAUUGUAAGAGCAACUGAUCUCAAACGACUCGAAAUGGUGGUGGCGAGCAAAGAACUCACCAUCAACAAAAAUUCGGAGGAUUGGUGGCCUACAUGGACGAAACCAGAAAUGCAAAUUAGCCGGUGCUGAAAUUUAAUAAAUUAAUAAUAAUAAUAUUAUUAUUAUUUAAUA